GACGAACGCUGGCGGCGUGCCUAAUACAUGCAAGUAGAACGCUGAAGAGAGGAGCUUGCUCUUCUUGGAUGAGUUGCGAACGGGUGAGUAACGCGUAGGUAACCUGCCUUGUAGCGGGGGAUAACUAUUGGAAACGAUAGCUAAUACCGCAUAACAAUGGAUGACACAUGUCAUUUAUUUGAAAGGGGCAAUUGCUCCACUACAAGAUGGACCUGCGUUGUAUUAGCUAGUAGGUGAGGUAAUGGCUCACCUAGGCGACGAUACAUAGCCGACCUCAGAGGGCGAUCAGCCAAACUGGGACUGCGACACGGCCCAGAAUCCUACGGGAGGCAGCAGGAGGCAAUCUUCGGCAAUGGGGGCAAGACUGAACGAGCAACGCCGCGCGAGUGAAGAAGGUUUUCGGACCGUAAAGCUCUGUUGUAAGUCAAGAACGGGUGUGAGAGUGGAAAGUUCGCACUGUGACGGUAGCUUACCAGAAAGGGACGGCUAACUACGUG
rnacentral:rRNA from 1 species